rnacentral:rRNA from 1 species
AACGUAGGUUCCGAGCGUUAUCCGGAUUUACUGGGCGUAAAGCGCGUUCAGGCGGUCUGACAGGUCGGGCAUGAAAUCUCUCGGCUCAACCGGGAGAGGUUGUCCGAUACUUUCAGACUUGAGGGCAGUAGAGGGUGGUGGAAUUCCGGGUGUAGUGGUGAAAUGCGUAGAUAUCCGGAGGAACACCAGUGGCGAAAGCGGCCACCUGGACUGCACCUGACGCUGACACGCGAAAGCUAGGGGAGCGAACGGG